CAGACAUACUGUAAUUAAAGUGCAAAGCGUGGAUGGUGAGAUAUCAGACAUAUCAGACAUACUGUAGUCUCUAAAGUUGUAUAAGAGUGAGAAAGUAUAGUCCCAUGCAGCCUCUCAUUUUGUUCAAGCUGUUGACUUACAUGAGGGAGACCACGGCAAAGUUGGCUGUACAACUGUUUGGAACUACACUUUAGGUGGGAAGUCUUGCGUAGCAAAGAGUAUACUUGAAGAGAUUGAUGAAGAGAAGAAGUAUGUGAGAUACCGAGUGAUUGAAGGCGAUUUAUUGGAUGAGUAUAAGACUCUUACAGGGGAAUUCCAUGUGAUACCCAAGGAUGAGAAAACCAGCAUAGGGACGUGGACAUUAAAAUAUGAGAAGCAGCAUCCUGGUAUCCCUGAACCAACUGAAUUGCUGGAUUCCUGGCUUGCUGCUGUAAAAAACUUGGAUGAUCAUCACCAUGGAAUUAAAAAGUGAACGAUGUUUUAAGUCAAUAAGUUCAGCAGUUUAUCAGUUUAUCAGUCUAUUAGAUCCAAAAUAUUGUAUGAAUUAAGUUGGAUAUGUUUUUGUUUGGUUGUUUGCAUACUAAAUAAGGGAUGUAUUUAAUUAUAUUACUCCCUCCGUUCCAUAAUAUAGUGCUUGUUUCUUUU